UGAUAAACACUCUUUGCGCAAGCAAAGUUUUAAACCCCUCUGUGAACCAAAACCUUUCUGAGCUUCGGUAGCUUGGUUGGCAAACUCUCACGGGAGCCAGCCAGCCAGUCAGCCUGCCGGUAGCACCAAACCAAACUUUGCAGUUUAAGAAUCUUGUCUGAAUUGAAUCAUUUUUGAAUGAAAAUCA
rnacentral:misc_RNA from 1 species